rnacentral:rRNA from 1 species
AUUGAACGCUGGCGGCAGGCCUAACACAUGCAAGUCGAGCGAGCGGCGGACGGGUGAGUAAUGUCUGGGAAACUGCCUGAUGGAGGGGGAUAACUACUGGAAACGGUAGCUAAUACCGCAUCCCAUCAGAUGUGCCCAGAUGGGAGUAGCUAGUAGGUGGGGUAACGGCUCACCUAGGCGACGAUCCCUAGCUGGUCUGAGAGGAUGACCAGCCACACUGGGACUGAGACACGGCCCAGACUCCUACGGGAGGCAGCAGGGGGGAAUAUUGCACAAUGGGCGAAAGUCUGAUGGAGCAAUGCCGCGUGUGUGAAGAAGGUCUUCGGGUCGUAAAGCACUGUUAGCGGGGAGGCGGUACCCGAAGAAGAAGCAACGGCUAACUCCGUGCCAGCAGCCGCGGUAAUUC